GGCGGCAAAGGAUGGGCCCGCGGCCUGUUUAGCUAGUUGGUGGGGUAGUGGCCUACCCAAGGCAAUGAUGGGUAGCCGGGUUGAGAGACGACCGGCCAGAUUGGGACUGAGACACGGCCCAGACUCCUACGGGAGGCAGCAGUGGGGAAUCUUGCACAAUGGGCGAAAGCCUGAUGCAGCGACGCCGCGUGCGGGAUGAAGGCCUUCGGGUUGUAAACCGCUUUCAGCAGGGGACGAGGCCGCAAGGUGACGGUACCUGCAGAAGAAGCCCCGGCUAACUACGUGCCAGCAGCCGCGGUAAU
rnacentral:rRNA from 1 species